CUAGCUCCGUCCUCACAGAUCCACUCUACCCUCCGCCUCCUCUCGCCCCUAAGUGGAUCUCGUCGCUCCUCCCCCGUGAGAGGCGCCGCCACCCCUCUCCGUUCCCAUGCGGCGGCGAGACGUGGCCACGGGUAUGCCUCCCUCUGCCCUUCUCCCUGCUGGCCUCGGGGCCGCUUGUCCCAAGCUCCUUGAGCACGGGGUCGGCGGCUAGUGGCUCCCCGAGUACGAGAGGCCGAUUCCGUCCGGGCCGCCGUCCACCGCCCUAGCCCUUUCCUCCCUCGCCUCCCCUCAGCCGUCACCAGCAGCCGGCAUCCCUGCCCAGUGGCCCGCACGCGGCCCGAAAAUCACUUCUCUCCAUCGUCCCCCUCUCCCCGUGCGCCGCUCCCCUCCUCCCCUCAGAUCCACUCCUCCCGUCCGUCUCAACCUCCCGAUCCAUGGUGCUGCUAGCCUGGGGCAUCCUCCACCUCCUUUCUCAUCCUCAGAUCCAUGGCGCUGCUAGCCUGGGGCAGUCACGGGGCCUCCCCUCGCGCAUCCUCAGAUCCACGGGCUCGGUGACCCGCACCUGGCGUCGUCAUCGGAUCGAGGAGGUCGAACCUCCGUCGGUGCGGCCCCCUCCUGAAGUGGCCCAUCCUGCAUUCCCCUGACGCCUCACCGCUCUGUGCCCGGCCAUGGUCAGCUGGAUGGCACCAAAGGUGGGGAGGGCCGUCGCAUAUUUGUGCAACGCGGUUAGCAGCCUGCGAAUGAGCGAUGAGCAGGCGUCCGGGAGGGCGAGGUUGGUGGGCUGCGAGGCCUCCCUUGCCAACGGAGGCAUGCAGGCCCUCUCUCCAGGGCAUCACAUUUCAGUGUGAAUAAGGAGAAGAGUAACAAUAAUGGUUUUUACCAUUUAAUCUAACCCAUGCUUUUCCUAUUUGUAAAAUAAGUGCACAUUGGUAAAAGAAUAAAUCUUGCUAAAUCUUGCUAUCUAAUUUAAGGAUGCAUGCUCCUUGGAAAUUUAAUAACUAGGCUCAUAAAUAAAUGUGGGAUCUGUUUGCUUCAUGCGUAUGUUCAGCUCUGAAUGUCUAUUGCAUGAUAUUAUGGUUCUAAAAGAAAUAUGGUGGUGCAUUGAUCUAUUGCAUUCUCAGUUGAUGAUUGAAACCAAAGGGCUGGUUAGGCUUCAAGCCAUUUUAAAAGGGCUGGUUAGGCUGGGACAUGAUUUGAUUACGAAUUACCAUAUUUUCCUAUAGAAAUGUAUCUUGCUCUUCUCAUUAGAAAAUAACUGAUAUGGCCGUGCAACAAUUUAGUUUGUUUGUGAACUUUUAGCAUUGUCUUAAAUUACAGGAUGACUGGUGUGAUAGUAUUGGUUCUGUUGAAGAUAUCCAAACAAAACUUUUAAAGUGGCAGGAAGUUGUAGCUAAACGCGAGCGAGCCAUGGUCUAGGCUCUUAUCAGGUACUUUGUGACGAGCUUGAAAUAGAAACACCUGCAGAAAUCACUGUGAUUGAAGUAAGCAAGCUGAGUUGGAAACAAAACACAUGCUUUUGCUAAGCCAAAGCUAAGCAACAAGGUGGUAUGUUUGCUUUUGGUGGAACUUCAACCUUUUGCAGGAACAAGACUUUGCUGUUGCAGCUUCAUGUACCUUUAGUUGUUUCUGCUCCUUUUUGUUGUCUUUUGUCCUAAACUUUUUUAUUGUUUCUGAUCCUAGAAUGUUGGGCUGCUAGUGCUACUGGUUGGAAAGAAUGUAUGUGAUCCCUUAUUUUGAUGUCAUUCUGGAUGGAAGAUGGAAUAUUAUGAUCUAGUUUUUUUUUUU